rnacentral:lncRNA from 1 species
AUGAUUGUGAUUAUUAUGAUAAGCAGGAUGUAAGAAUGAAUGUUGUGUGAGAAAGCAUGUUGUGUGAGAUUUUGAGCUCUAGAGUUUUAUGAUUAUUUGAAUUGUUCACAGGAAAGCAUGAAUGAUAUUGCUUUAAUCUCAAUGAUUGAUUGAAUUGCAUGUGAAUGUAAGAUUAUCAAGGCCAUUUUUUAAAGCCUUUCUCUAGCCAAAUUUUC